rnacentral:rRNA from 1 species
UACGAAGGGGGCUAGCGUUGCUCGGAAUCACUGGGCGUAAAGCGCACGUAGGCGGGUUCUUAAGUCAGGGGUGAAAUCCUGGAGCUCAACUCCAGAACUGCCUUUGAUACUGAGGAGCUUGAGUCCGGGAGAGGUGAGUGGAACUGCGAGUGUAGAGGUGAAAUUCGUAGAUAUUCGCAAGAACACCAGUGGCGAAGGCGGCUCACUGGCCCGGUACUGACGCUGAGGUGCGAAAGCGUGGGGAGCAAACAGG